rnacentral:lncRNA from 1 species
UCAUAGCUUUUUGCCGGUGUUUGGAUGCAUGGAUAUCUUAUUCGGCGAUACCGUCCAAAAGGUCGAUACGAUAGAAAACGGUGGUUCGGAGUUCUAGUCUUAGCACUUAGAUAUCAGGUGAACCGUGCCACGUGUAAUGACUGAUUAUAGAGAAUAAUAUUGUCCAGAAGAUUGACCUCAUAGAAAAUGGUGGUUCGGAGUUAGUCUUAGCACUUAAAUAUUAGGUGAACCGUGCCAUAUAUACUGACUAUGGAGAACAAUGCUGCCCAAUAGAUCAAUCAGAUAGGAAACGAUGGUUCGAAGUUAGUCUUAGCAGUUAGAUAUCAGAUGGACCAUGUCACGUGUACUGACUAGAGAGAAAAAUGUUAUUCAAAAGAUCGAUCUGAUAGGAAAUGGUAGUUCAGAGUUAGAGAAUAAUGCCAUGUGUAUUAGGUGAACCAUAACACGUGUACUGACUAUAGAGAAAAUUGUAACCCAAAAAAUCGAUGUGAUAGGAAACGGUGGUUAGGAGUUAGUCUUAGCACUUAGAUAUCAGAUGAGCCAUGUCAAGUGUACUAAUUAUAGAGAACAAUGUUAUUCAAAAGAUCGAUCAGAUGGGAAAUAGUGGUUCAAAGUUAGAGAACAAUGCCACAUGUAUCAGGUGAACCAUGCCACAUGUGCUGACUAUAGAAAAUAAUGUUAUCCGAAAGAUCAAUAUAAUAGGACACGGUGAUUUGGAGUUAGUCUUAGCAUCUAAAUAUUAGGUGAACCAUGCCACGUGUACUGACUAUAGUGAAAAAUGUUAUCCAAAAAUCGAUAUCAGAAAAAAUGGUGGUUCGGUAUUAGUCUUAGCACUUAGAUAUCAAGUGAACUAUGUCACGUGUACGGACUAUAGAGAAUAAUGUUAUCCAAAAGAUCAAUAUGAUAGGAAACGGUGAUUUGGAGUUAGUCUUAGCACCUGAAUAUCAGGUGAACCAUGCCACGUGUACUGACUAUAGAGAACAAUGUUAUCCAAAAUAUCAAUAUGAUAAGAAACGGUGGUUCAGCGUUAGUCUUAGCACUUAGAUAUCAGGUGAACCAUUUCACACGUACUGAUUAUAGAGAAUAAUGUUACCCAAAAGAUUGAUUUGAUAGAAAACGGUGGUUUGGAGUUAGUCUUAGCACCUAAAUAUAAGGUGAACCAUGCCACGUGUGUUGACUAUAGAGGACAAUGUUAUCCAAAAGAUCGAUCUAAUAAGAAACGGUGGUUUGGAGUUAGAGAACAAUGCCACAUGUAUCAGGUGAACCAUGUCAUGUGUACUGAGUACAGAGAACAAUGUUACCCAAAAGAUAGAUCUGAUAGGAUAUGGUGGUUCGGAAUUAGUCUUAGCAUUUAGAUAUCAGAUGAAUCAUACCAUGUGUACUGACUAUAGAGAACAAUGUUAUCCAAAAUAUCGAUAUGAUAAGAAACAGUGGUUCGGAGUUCAUCUUAGCACUAAGAUAUCAGGUGAAUCAUAUCACGUGUACUAACUAGAGAGAACAAUGUAAACAUCUAGUUCGGUAUUACCCAGCAGAUCGAUCUAAUAGGAAACUGUUCGGAAAUGGUCUUAACAACCCUGCUUAUAGGCACGAUGUUCUAGAGAUCAAUCUAUAGGAAACGGUUUGGAAAACAUCAAGCACAUUUUUCCAUUUGCUCAAGAAGCUUGUUGUAUUUAAUAGACGAGGAGUACGAUCAAAUGUCUAGAAAGGCCUACCAUAUUUUUUUGGAAUAAGAUAAACUAUCUUAUAGUUGAAAUUUACUAUCCCACUAAACCACGACUAUUGAAAUCUUCCGAGGUAAAAAUAUCCUCAUAGCUUCCAACCCGGGCCUUUAUGUUUUGGUUAACUAAAGGCCUUCAAAGCCUACUCCCCCGCCCUCUACACCCAAGAAGGUCCUUCCUUUCAAACCCCCAACUUCCCCCCUUCUUAUAACUUUUCGCCGUGUUUGGAUGCAUGGAUAUCUUGUUGGGUGUUACCACCCAAAGAUCGAUCUGGAGUUUUAGUCUUAGCACUUAGAUAUCAAGUGAACCGUGUCAUGUGUACGGACUAUAGAGAAUAAUGUUACCCAAAAGAUCAAUCUGAUAGGAAACGGUGAUUUGGAGUUAGUCUUAGCACCUAACUAUCAGGCGAACCACGCCACGUGUACUGACUAUAUAGAACAAUGUUAUCCAAAAGAUCGAUAUGAUAAGAAACAAUGGUUUGGCGUUAGUCUUAGCACUUAGAUAUCAAGUGAACCAUUUCACGUGUACUGAUUAUAGAGAAUGAUGUUACCCAAAAGAUCGAUCUGAUAGGAAAUUGUGGUUCAGAGUUAGAGAACAAUGCCACGUGUAUCAGGUGAACCAUACCACGUGUACUAACUAUAGAGCAAGAUGUUACCCAAGUAAUCGAUCUGAUAGAAAAUGGUGGUUAAGAGUUAGUCUUAGCACUUAGAUAUCAGAUGAACCAUGUCACGUGUACUAACUGUAGAGAAUAAUAUUAUUCAAAAGAUCGAUUUGAUAGGAAAUGGUGGUUCAAAGUUAGAGAACAAUGCUACGUGUAUCAGGUGAACCAUGCCACAUGUACUGACUAUAGAGAAAAAUGUUAUCGAAAAAAUCGAUCUGAUAGGAAACAGUGAUUAGGAUUUAGUCUUAGCACUUAGAUAUCAGAUAAACCAUACCAUGUGUACUAACUAUAGAGAACAGUGUUACACAAAAAAUUGAUUUGAUAGGAAACGGUGGUUUGGAGUUAGAGAACAAUGCCACGUGUAUUAGGUGAACCAUGUCACAUGUACUGA